UACGAGGGGGCGAGCGUUGUUCGGAAUUAUUGGGCGUAAAGGGUGCGUAGGCGGUUCCGCAAGUCCUGUGUGAAAUCUUCGGGCUCAACUCGAAGUCUGCACGGGAAACUGCGGGGCUUGAGUGUGGGAGAGGUGAGUGGAAUUCCCGGGUGUAGCGGUGAAAUGCGUAGAUAUCGGGAGGAACACCUGUGGCGAAAGCGGCUCACUGGACCAUAACUGACGCUGAGGCACGAAAGCGUGGGGAGCAAACAGGA
rnacentral:rRNA from 1 species